rnacentral:rRNA from 1 species
UACGUAGGGGGCAAGCGUUGUCCGGAAUUAUUGGGCGUAAAGCGCGUGCAGGCGGCUUGUUAAGUUGGGUGUUUAAGACCGGGGCUCAACCCCGGCUCGCACCCAAAACUGGGAAGCUUGAGUGUAGGAGAGGAAAGUGGAAUUCCACGUGUAGCGGUGAAAUGCGUAGAGAUGUGGAGGAACACCAGUGGCGAAGGCGACUUUCUGGCCUAUAACUGACGCUGAGGCGCGAAAGCGUGGGGAGCAAACA